rnacentral:piRNA from 1 species
UGAAGACUCAACGGCUAGAUGUUGCCAA